rnacentral:misc_RNA from 1 species
GAAAUGCGAUAAGUAAUGUGAAUUGCAGAAUUCAGUGAAUCAUCGAAUCUUUGAACGCACCUUGCGCUCCUUGGUAUUCCUUGGAGCAUGCCUGUUUGAGUAUCAUGAAAUCUUCAAAGUAAAUCUUUUGUUAACUCAAUUGGUUUCUACUUUGGUAUUGGAGGUCUUUGCAGCUUCACACCUGCUCCUCUUUGUUCAUUAGCUGGAUCUCAGUGUUAUGCUUGGUUCCACUCGGCGUGAUAAGUUAUCUAUCGCUGAGGACGCUGUAAAAGGUGGCCGAGGUAAAUGCAGAUGAACCGCUUCUAAUAGUCCAUUGACUUGGACAAUACUUUUAUGAUCUGAUCUCAAAUCAGGUAGGACUACCCGCUGAACUUAAGC